rnacentral:rRNA from 1 species
AGUUUGAUCAUGGCUCAGGAUGAAUGCUGGCGGCGUGCCUAAUACAUGCAAGCCGAGCGGUAAGGCCCUUCGGGGUACACGAGCGGCGGACGGCUGAGUAACGCGUGGGAACAUGCCCCAAAGUGAGGGAUAACGCACCGAAAGGUGUGCUAAUACCGCAUAUGGUCUUCGGAUUAAAGGAUUUAUCCGCUUUGGGAGUGGCCCGCGUACGAUUAGAUUGUUGGUGAGGUAACGGCUCACCAAGUCGACGAUCGUUAACUGGUCUGAGAGGAUGAUCAGUCAGACUGGAACUGAGACACGGUCCAGACUCCUACGGGAGGCAGCAGUAAGGAAUCUUCCACAAUGGGCGAAAGCCUGAUGGAGCAACGCCGCGUGCAGGAUGAAGGCCCUCGGGUCGUAAACUGCUUUUAUGAGUGAAGAAUAUGACGGUAACUCAUGAAUAAGCACCGGCUAACUACGUG